rnacentral:rRNA from 1 species
GACGAACGCUGGCGGCGUGCUUAACACAUGCAAGUCGAACGGAAAGGCCCUGCUUUUGUGGGGUGCUCGAGUGGCGAACGGGUGAGUAACACGUGAGUAACCUGCCCUUGACUUUGGGAUAACUUCAGGAAACUGGGGCUAAUACCGGAUAGGAGCUCCUGCUGCACGGUGGGGGUUGGAAAGUUUCGGCGGUUGGGGAUGGACUCGCGGCUUAUCAGCUUGUUGGUGGGGUAGUGGCUUACCAAGGCUUUGACGGGUAGCCGGCCUGAGAGGGUGACCGGCCACAUUGGGACUGAGAUACGGCCCAGACUCCUACGGGAGGCAGCAGUGGGGAAUAUUGCACAAUGGGCGGAAGCCUGAUGCAGCAACGCCGCGUGCGGGAUGACGGCCUUCGGGUUGUAAACCGCUUUCGCCUGUGACGAAGCGUGAGUGACGGUAAUGGGUAAAGAAGCACCGGCUAACUACGUGCCAGCAGCCGCGGUGAUACGUAGGGUGCGAGCGUUGUCCGGAUUUAUUGGGCGUAAAGGGCUCGUAGGUGGUUGAUCGCGUCGGAAGUGUAAUCUUGGGGCUUAACCCUGAGCGUGCUUUCGAUACGGGUUGACUUGAGGAAGGUAGGGGAGAAUGGAAUUCCUGGUGGAGCGGUGGAAUGCGCAGAUAUCAGGAGGAACACCAGUGGCGAAGGCGGUUCUCUGGGCCUUUCCUGACGCUGAGGAGCGAAAGCGUGGGGAGCGAACAGGCUUAGAUACCCUGGUAGUCCACGCUGUAAACGGUGGGUACUAGGUGUGGGGUCCAUUCCACGGGUUCCGUGCCGUAGCUAACGCUUUAAGUACCCCGCCUGGGGAGUACGGCCGCAAGGCUAAAACUCAAAGGAGUUGACGGGGCCCCGCACAAGCGGCGGAGCAUGCGGAUUAAUUCGAUGCAACGCGUAGAACCUUACCUGGGUUUGACAUGGAUCGGGAGUGCUCAGAGAUGGGUGUGCCUCUUUUGGGGUCGGUUCACAGGUGGUGCAUGGCUGUCGUCAGCUCGUGUCGUGAGAUGUUGGGUUAAGUCCCGCAACGAGCGCAACCCUUGUUCACUGUUGCCAGCACGUUAUGGUGGGGACUCAGUGGAGACCGCCGGGGUCAACUCGGAGGAAGGUGGGGAUGACGUCAAGUCAUCAUGCCCCUUAUGUCCAGGGCUUCACGCAUGCUACAAUGGCUGGUACAGAGAGUGGCGAGCCUGUGAGGGUGAGCGAAUCUCGGAAAGCCGGUCUCAGUUCGGAUUGGGGUCUGCAACUCGACCUCAUGAAGUCGGAGUCGCUAGUAAUCGCAGAUCAGCAACGCUGCGGUGAAUACGUUCCCGGGGCU